CGAGCAGAGCCGAAAAGAACCGAGGUUAGCGGGUUCGCGUUGGUCCUCCGGGUCAAAAACCACACAUCUACUGAAAUGGGUCAAAGGAUCCACGUCUCAAGACCACAGCUGAGGCCUGGAACACAUGGACGGACCAAAGCUUUGCCUUCUGGCUCAAACAAGAGAAAAAAAGAAAGAAGCAAAGAAAAGAACUGAUUUAACUGUAAAAGAUGCGUGUUGUUUUAAAAAAAUCAAGUAUGAGUCACACAAAGCAAAGAAAAGCAUCUCAUUGGAUUAUAUAAUCUGCUUUAUAAUGCUUGAGAUCUGCAGCCUCAGUUUUUAUUAAAUAUUCAAUCUAUGAA